rnacentral:lncRNA from 1 species
GAUCCCAGGGACGCCCCCACAGGUAGACGAAGAGGGUCCAGAGAAAGGUGGGGAUUCCCUAACCCCUUCUUUCUUGGCACAGACAGGCAGAGAACACCUCUUUUCUCACCCCUGGGCAGCCCCAGGAAGUCAAUCCUUCCACUAUUCCUGCUCCGUGCCUCUCUUCCCUCUGCCCAGAUUCCUGGGAGACUCAAAACCCUGUUCAACUCUCUCUGGGCUAGCUGCUCCCCUCCCCAAGAGGAUUUCUCUCCAGAGCUGGUAUCAUCGCUUAAUGAUGUUCCACCAACAAGGGGAAGAUUCAGCCAUGUCUUCCUAGGAUCCAGCAUCCAAACCUGGACCAAAGUCCUCGGAUCCUCAGCAAUGGGGGUUUCUUUUCUGGGAGCUGCUAUCACUGAAUACAUAAAGAAAUUGAGCCUAUAUGAUUUCAAUCUUCACCUUCUGAUGCUGAUGAAACAGGAUUCUAUGCAGAGAAAAUCCUCUCCAGUCAAGUAAUUGCAUCCAUUUCAUCUUCCCAGCCCUCCUCUAGAUGGGAGGUGGAGGUGUGUGUACCAAUCUCUUAAUUCAGAAAUGAGACAAGAGGAGGAAAAAGGAGUUCCGGAGGACAGUGGGGACCCCAGCCAGAGCCUGGGGACUUGGCUGCCUUGGAACCAGAACCUGGCCCCUCAGAGGAGUUGCAGAAUUUCGAUAGAGGAGUGGCAGGAGGUGUACUGGCUGAAGAGGAGGCCCAAGGAACUCCUUUUCAUACAUCAAAACUGAGCUUAUCACCUCUACCCUGAAGUCAUCCUGGACAUCACUGGUCCCAGUUAAUCACUCACUUAUCUUUGCCAUCCUUGACCUGGGAAGAGAACGUUGCCCUCAUUGGUCUGGAAUCAGCAGGUACCUCAUGGCUGGAGGUGUAUUUUCAGGUGGG